AGGGUCAGCUGUCUAGACAGGUGUCUGGUACAGGGUCAGCUGUCUAGACAGGUGUCUGGUACAGGGUCAGCUGUCUAGACAGGUGUCUGGUGAACUGGGUCAGCUGUCUAGACAGGUGUCUGGUACAGGGUCAGCUGUCUAGACAGGUGUC